GGGAGGAAGGAUGAUAUUAAAAUAGUUGCAAAAAUAGGAACCAAAUUUGAGCUUUUUAAAGUUGAGUUUAUUAAAAAAACCACCCAAUAUUGAAAGGCCAAAAGCAUAAUUACCCCUUUUUCAAAACUUCUAAAGAUUCAUCUUGAGUAAUUAGUUAACAGUAUCCUGCAUGGACGAGAGCCCAAAUGAAGAUCAGCAAUUCUUGGUCACGUU
rnacentral:lncRNA from 1 species